rnacentral:rRNA from 1 species
CACAUCCAAGGAAGGCAGCAGGCGCGCAAAUUACCCAAUCCCGACACAGGGAGGUAGUGAGAAGAAAUAACAAUACCGUGCUCUCAUGAGUGUGGUAAUUGGAAUGAGUACAAUUUAAACCUCUUAACGAGGAUCCAAUGGAGGGCAAGUCUGGUGCCAGCAGCCGCGGUAAUACCAGCUCCAUUAGUGUAUGUUAAAGUUGUUGCAGUUAAAAAGCUCGUAGUUGGAUUUCUGGUUCAUGUAGCCUGGCCCGAGGACCACCAUGUUCUUGUGUGCCGGUUUGGGCGCCUCUGUUGCCUUGUUUGUUUUGUCUGCCCCCGCUUGCGGGAGUGCGGACCUUACUUGUGUGACGAGGUUUUGCCUUGCUGCAUAACCAUCCUUCAGGAGAAACGGUCUACUCUUCAUUGAGCCGGGCCGCGGACCCUGAUCGUUUACUUUGAAAAAAUUAGAGUGUUCAAAGCAGGCAUUGUUGCUGUGAAUAUCUUAGCAUGGAAUAAUAAGAUAGGACUUUGGCCCAGCUGACCGUUUGUGUCGGUCUCGCGACUGACGCCGGUCGGUUCUAUUUUGUUGGUUAUAGAGCCAAAGUAAUGAUUGAUAGGGAUAGUUGGGGGUGCUAGUAUUGCCGAGCCAGAGGUGAAAUUCUUGGAUUCUGGCAAGACUAACUUAUGCGAAAGC